ensembl:lncRNA
AUACAGGCUUGUGCAGCGAUGCAGAAUCCUGUCCGUGCACCUUGGAGGCUUUUAGAUGGAGACUGUCAUAGUUACAUCUGGCAGGUCCACUAGUUACACCUGGCAGGUCCACUAGUAACACCUGGCAGGUCCACUAGUCACACCUGGCAGGUCCACUAGUUAUACCUGGCAGGUCCACUAGUUACACCUGGCAGGUCCACUAGUCACACCUGGCAGGUCCACUAGAGACACCUGGCAGGUCCACUAGCAGGUCCACUAGAGAACACCUGGCAGGUCCACUAGCAGGUCCACUAGAGAACACCUGGCAGGUCCACUAGCAGGUCCACUAGAGAACACCUGGCAGGUCCACUAGUUAUACCUGGCAGGUCCACUAGUUACACCUGGCAGGUCCACUAGUCACACCUGGCAGGUCCACUAGUCACACCUGGC